rnacentral:snRNA from 1 species
GUGCUUCGGCAGCACAUAUACUAAAAUUGGAACAAUAUAGAGAUUAUAUCGGCUCCUGUGCAAGGAUGACACGCAAAUUCAUGAAGCAUUCUAUAUUUCA